rnacentral:rRNA from 1 species
UACGGAGGGUCCAAGCGUUAUCCGGAAUCAUUGGGCUUAAAGGGUCCGUAGGCGGUUUUGUAAGUCAGUGGUGAAAGCCCAUCGCUCAACGGUGGAACGGCCAUUGAUACUGCAAGACUUGAAUUAUUGUGAAGUAACUAGAAUAUGUAGUGUAGCGGUGAAAUGCUUAGAGAUUACAUGGAAUACCAAUUGCGAAGGCAGGUUACUAACAAUAUAUUGACGCUGAUGGACGAAAGCGUGGGUAGCGAACAGG